CCCAGACUCCUACGGGAGGCAGCAGUGGGGGAUAUUGCACAAUGGGGGGAACCCUGAUGCAGCGACGCCGCGUGGGUGAAGGAGCGUUUCGGCGCGUAAAGCCCUCUCGGCAGGGAAGAAGGAGGACGGUACCUGACUAAGAAGCCCCGGCUAACUACGUGCCAGCAGCCGCGGUAAUACGUAGGGGGCAAGCGUUAUCCGGAUUUACUGGGUGUAAAGGGGGCGCAGACGGCAGCGCAAGCCAGGAGUGAAAGCCCGGGGCCCAACCCCGGGACUGCUCUUGGAACUGCGCGGCUGGAGUGCAGGAGGGGCAGGCGGAAUUCCUGGUGUAGCGGUGAAAUGCGUAGAUAUCAGGAGGAACACCGGUGGCGAAGGCGGCCUGCUGGACUGCGACUGACGUUGAGGCCCGAAAGCGUGGGGAGCAAACAGGAUUAGAUACCCCUGUAAUC
rnacentral:rRNA from 1 species